CUCAGCCUCUGGCAGUGACUCUGGUGAGUGUAAGGGAUGGGUCCUUUGUAAAGAAAACCUGCAGGUGCACCAGGGGAGAUGGAGCCCAGUGGAACAAGGAGAUCAUUCUUCCCUAAGAGCCCCAAGGGUGAGCAGUGCACCUUGCAGAUGGGGGUGAGAUUGGUACAGCUUGGACCAGAGAGAUCCUCCUGUUAGCUGGAGGUGCUGCAGUGCAGGGGAGGAGAGGAGAGGACAAGGCGGGAGCACUGGUCAGCAAAUUAAUAAUUUACAAGGACCCUGUUAUGCACCCAUGUCUCCUCCAUGGAAACAAAGCUGGCUGAGCAUGUCUGGAACUUGAUUGAAGAAGGCCACCAGAAACUGAGAAAGGAGCUUGAGGAAGGAAUUUACAUCCCAGAAGAACCACCAAGUCUCUGCCUUUAGGAGCAGAUGUCCCCCAGCCAGGAAGAGAGGAUAGACUCCACAAGGUACCUCAGGAAGACAUUUACAGGAGGACACCAACCUUGACCAGGAUUAGAGGGGCUGUGCUGCUAGCCAGAUGGAGGGAAAGGAGAAUUGGAUCUGCUGGGCUGUGUGGAUGCCAUGGCCUGGCACGUCUGACCCACAAAGGGGCAGCUUUGGUGCACUGGCACUCCGUGUACCCUGAUGCCACCAAGGUGUGCGGGAGUGGAACCCAUUUCCAUUUCUGGGCUCUCAGGAGGAUCCCGGCAGCUGAAGUGAAUUUAUCUGGGAACAAGUGGCACAAACAUCCCGUGGUGGCUGGCCCAGAGGCCCUGCAUCCUCAGCACAGAGCAGCUCAGAAAUGGGAGUUUCAAAGACCCAAAGGACAUCAUUGGCUUUUGGGAUUGCUGCUGCAGAGACAGAAAACUGAAUUCCAUGCCUGGGCUCUCAGAUCAGCCUUUUGCUGUGGGACUGCUGAGAGCUGAAGAACAACAGGUACCAAUCAUCACAGCAGCAGUGCACCAGCAGCAAUUCUUCACCAGAACAUAAAUUUGCUGUACAACAGCUCAACAAGUUAAGUGCAUUUUUUUUCCCUCUUUAAUUAAAACAAAAUAAAAACCUAAAUAAGA